CAGGGUUUGAUCCUGGCUCAGAUUGAACGCUGGCGGCAGGCCUAACACAUGCAAGUCGAGCGGAUGAAGGGAGCUUGCUCCUGGAUUCAGCGGCGGACGGGUGAGUAAUGCCUAGGAAUCUGCCUGGUAGUGGGGGAUAACGUCCGGAAACGGGCGCUAAUACCGCAUACGUCCUGAGGGAGAAAGUGGGGGAUCUUCGGACCUCACGCUAUCAGAUGAGCCUAGGUCGGAUUAGCUAGUUGGUGGGGUAAAGGCCUACCAAGGCGACGAUCCGUAACUGGUCUGAGAGGAUGAUCAGUCACACUGGAACUGAGACACGGUCCAGACUCCUACGGGAGGCAGCAGUGGGGAAUAUUGGACAAUGGGCGAAAGCCUGAUCCAGCCAUGCCGCGUGUGUGAAGAAGGUCUUCGGAUUGUAAAGCACUUUAAGUUGGGAGGAAGGGCAGUAAGUUAAUACCUUGCUGUUUUGACGUUACCAACAGAAUAAGCACCGGCUAACUUCGUGCCAGCAGCCGCGGUAAUACGAAGGGUGCAAGCGUUAAUCGGAAUUACUGGGCGUAAAGCGCGCGUAGGUGGUUCAGCAAGUUGGAUGUGAAAUCCCCGGGCUCAACCUGGGAACUGCAUCCAAAACUACUGAGCUAGAGUACGGUAGAGGGUGGUGGAAUUUCCUGUGUAGCGGUGAAAUGCGUAGAUAUAGGAAGGAACACCAGUGGCGAAGGCGACCACCUGGACUGAUACUGACACUGAGGUGCGAAAGCGUGGGGAGCAAACAGGAUUAGAUACCCUGGUAGUCCACGCCGUAAACGAUGUCGACUAGCCGUUGGGAUCCUUGAGAUCUUAGUGGCGCAGCUAACGCGAUAAGUCGACCGCCUGGGGAGUACGGCCGCAAGGUUAAAACUCAAAGGAAUUGACGGC
rnacentral:rRNA from 1 species